rnacentral:rRNA from 1 species
CCUACGGGAGGCAGCAGUGGGGAAUCUUGCGCAAUGGCCUAACGGCUGACGCAGCGACGCCGCGUGUGGGAUGAAGCUCUUCGGAGUGUAAACCACUGUUGCCCGGGACGAAUAGCUCGAUUAAUCGAGCCUGGCGGUACCGGGUGAGGAAGCACCGGCUAACUCCGUGCCAGCAGCCGCGGUAAUACGGGGGGUGCGAGCGUUGUCCGGAAUCACUGGGCGUAAAGGGCGCGUAGGUGGUUUGAUAAGGGUGUGGUGAAAGUCCGGGGCUCAACCCCGGAUCUGCCGUGCCGACUGUCAAACUCGAGGACUGUAGAGGCAGACGGAAUUCCGGGUGUAGCGGUGGAAUGCGUAGAGAUCCGGAGGAAGACCGGUGGCGAAGGCGGUCUGCUGGGCAGUUUCUGACACUGAGGCGCGACAGCGUGGGGAGCAAACAGGAUUAGAUACCCUGGUAGUCCACGCCGUAAACGAUGGGUACUAGGUGCCUGGGGGAGCGACCCUCUGGGUGCCGGCGCUAACGCAGGAAGUACCCCGCCUGGGGAGUACGACCGCAAGGUUGAAACUCAAAGUGAAGUUGACGCGUGAGACGUGACCGAAGGCCGACACGGAGGGAGAGG